GGGGAAUAUUGGACAAUGGGCGAAAGCCUGAUCCAGCAAUGCCGCGUGAGUGAUGAAGGCCUUAGGGUUGUAAAGCUCUUUUACCAGGGAUGAUAAUGACAGUACCUGGAGAAUAAGCUCCGGCUAACUCCGUGCCAGCAGCCGCGGUAAUACGGAGGGAGCUAGCGUUGUUCGGAAUUACUGGGCGUAAAGCGCACGUAGGCGGCUAUUCAAGUCGGGGGUGAAAGCCCGGGGCUCAACCCCGGAACUGCCCUCGAAACUAGGUAGCUAGAAUCUUGGAGAGGCGAGUGGAACUCCGAGUGUAGAGGUGAAAUUCGUAGAUAUUCGGAAGAACACCAGUGGCGAAGGCGACUCGCUGGACAAGUAUUGACGCUGAGGUGCGAAAGCGUGGGGAGCAAAC
rnacentral:rRNA from 1 species